rnacentral:rRNA from 1 species
GAUGAACGCUAGCUACAGGCUUAACACAUGCAAGUCGAGGGGAAACGGCAUUGAGUGCUUGCACUCUUUGGACGUCGACCGGCGCACGGGUGAGUAACGCGUAUCCAACCUUCCCAUUACUGUGGGAUAACCUGCCGAAAGGCAGACUAAUACCGCAUAGUCUUCGAUGACGGCAUCAGAUUUGAAGUAAAGAUUUGUCGGUAAUGGAUGGGGAUGCGUCUGAUUAGCUUGUUGGCGGGGUAACGGCCCACCAAGGCAACGAUCAGUAGGGGUUCUGAGAGGAAGGUCCCCCACAUUGGAACUGAGACACGGUCCAAACUCCUACGGGAGGCAGCAGUGAGGAAUAUUGGUCAAUGGACGGAAGUCUGAACCAGCCAAGUAGCGUGCAGGAUGACGGCCCUAUGGGUUGUAAACUGCUUUUGUAUGGGGAUAAAGUUAGGGACGUGUCCCUAUUUGCAGGUACCAUACGAAUAAGGACCGGCUAAUUCCGUGCCAGCAGCCGCGGUAAUACGGAAGGUCCAGGCGUUAUCCGGAUUUAUUGGGUUUAAAGGGAGCGUAGGCUGGAGAUUAAGUGUGUUGUGAAAUGUAGACGCUCAACGUCUGAAUUGCAGCGCAUACUGGUUUCCUUGAGUACGCACAACGUUGGCGGAAUUCGUCGUGUAGCGGUGAAAUGCUUAGAUAUGACGAAGAACUCCGAUUGCGAAGGCAGCUGACGGGAGCGCAACUGACGCUUAAGCUCGAAGGUGCGGGUAUCAAACAGG